rnacentral:rRNA from 1 species
UACGAAGGGGGCUAGCGUUGUUCGGAAUUACUGGGCGUAAAGGGCGCGUAGGCGGUGUGUCAAGUCAGGCGUGAAAGCCCCGGGCUCAACCUGGGAACAGCGCUUGAGACUGGCACGCUCGAGUUCGGGAGAGGAUGGUGGAAUUCCCAGUGUAGAGGUGAAAUUCGUAGAUAUUGGGAAGAACACCGAUGGCGAAGGCAGCCAUCUGGACCGACACUGACGCUGAGGCGCGAAAAGCGUGGGGAGCAAACAGGG